UAUCUCUUUAAUGUGAAGUAGAGAGCCACUCGAGGUGGAGCUCAAGGGAGUAGCCGCGGAGCUCGGAUUCGACGUCGACGUCGCACUGCGGAGCCGUUCGAGGAUACGGUUGCAGUCGUAGCAUCGCGAGGAGUUCGAGCGAGGGCGCGGUUUUCGCCGUCCUCAACGUCGCACCAGCGCCGGAUUCGCUGUCGAGCGUCGACCGUCAGUGUUUCGGCUCGUACUCGGCGUAGGAACGUCGGAUUUCGACGAGACUUGGUUCGUUGGAUUCAGGACUUCGAGAGGAAUCCACGAAGCCCUUAUGUGCUGGAUUUGUUGAAGGGCGAUUUCGAACUUGAGCUGGACACCCUGGUUUUUCCAGUGGAUUUGGGGAUUUUUGGUGACCUCCUCGCUGCCGGGGUUUAGCGAUCGAGAGCUUUCCACUCCAGGAGAGGCUAGGGACCGCAGCAAGGGUGUCGCUUCGAGCUAGCGAGCGAGGGGUCUUGCUAGGUGGAUCAUUUUCUCCUUUUUGUUUUAGUUGAAGAGAAUGAUAACGUUUGUACCCUACAUAGAGACUACAAUUUUGGAUAUUGUAGUACUUGCUUUUGAGAUAGUUUGAUGUAUUCACUCUAUGUUUUAUCUCAGUUGAUAGUUUUACUGCU